CCUACGGGCGGCAGCAGUGGGGAAUAUUGCGCAAUGGGCGAAAGCCUGACGCAGCGACGCCGCGUGAGGGAUGAAGGUCUUCGGAUCGUAAACCUCUGUCAGCAGGGAAGAACGGUCACUGUGCUAAUCAGCAGUGAAUUGACGGUACCAGCACAGGAAGCACCGGCUAACUCCGUGCCAGCAGCCGCGGUAAUACGGAGGGUGCGAGCGUUAAUCGGAAUUAUUGGGCGUAAAGCGCUCGUAGGCGGUAUGUCAAGUCAAGGGUGAAAUCCCCGCGCUCAACGUGGGAACCGCCUUUGAUACUGGCAAACUGGAGUGUGUGAGAGGAUAGUGGAAUUCCAGGUGUAGGAGUGAAAUCCGUAGAUAUCUGGAAGAACAUCAGUGGCGAAGGCGACUAUCUGGCACAUAACUGACGCUGAGGAGCGAAAGCGUGGGUAGCAAACAGGAUUAGAUACCCGAGUAGUC
rnacentral:rRNA from 1 species